rnacentral:lncRNA from 1 species
UUAAUACAACAUAUUUUACAAUAAUUCUAAAAUUCAGAGAAGUGAAACAAAAACUCUAUAACCACCAUAGCCACCACAUACCGCCUCCAACCACCUGUGUCAUCGUCACAACAAUUAUUAUUUCCAAAUGAGAUUUGUACAUAAAGUCAUGCAAUGACAUGUUAAAUGCUACAUUUAUAGUUUAAUAAACUGAUUAAUUGUCACAUUUUGAAUUUAAUACAAAAUAAUUAUAAAAACUAAUGUAUUCUUACAUAUUUAUACAACAAAAAAAUAAAUAUAUUCACAAUAAGUUAAUACAAAAAUUCUUACAUAAAUCAUUCAUAUUUUAAUACAAAAAUUAUAAAAAAAAGUCACAGCAACAUGUAGCCAAUUCACAACUUAAUAUAGUCAACUACCGAUUAAUAUGUAAAAUUUAAAGCUUAAUAUGAUAAAUUAAUAAUUUAAUACACAAAAAUGUCAUAUUCUUAACUUAAAACUUAUAUUUAUACCUUUAGAUUGUUUUUUCAAAGUUUAAUUUACACAAUAUUUACAACUUAAAUUUAAUAUAAUUUAGUCAAAAUCAAAGAAAAUCAUAUAUGUGUAUAAUGAUUCUUUCUUCUCAUAAUUCAAACGCAAGAACAAAAUUCAUAAAAAGUUCACAACUUAAUACAGUCAAUGCACAGUUUAAUACAAUUACUUGAAUGUUUAAUAAAUAAAUAUCGCAGGUUAAUAUAAUAAUUCACAGUUUAAUACACGAAAAAUAUAUACGGACAACCAUAUUUUUUAACUUAGAACUAACAUUUAUACGUUCAUAUAAAUGUUAGUUUAUUAUACUAAGCCACAAAUGAGUUUACUAUUAAAUUGUGAAUUUAUUAUACUAAGCCGCAAAUGAAUUUAUAGCCUAAUACAACAAAUUCACAAUUUAAUACAAUAAAUUCACAAUUUAUUUAGAAUUAUAAUCUCAUAUUCUAGUGUAUAAACAACUCAUUUAUAGUUUAAUACAUACAUAUAUUAUCUCAUACUUUAGAAGAAAACAUCAAAAAAAUAUAUAUAUACAUGAAUCAUAAAAGAUGACAACUUAUCUGAAAUCCACGAAAAAGAUGAGUUUGAAAAGAAUAUAUCAUUACUCUACCACCACCACUUGCAUAAACACUGUCAACUACCAUACGUUGCCAUCAACGAUCGCCCUCCGCCAAGCAUUAAUGACAACACUGCCAACAUCCUUCUCUAAAAACCAAAUACGGAUAAAUAAAUAAAAAAUCAAAAUUUACAGUUUAAUUCAACAUUUCAAACAGUAACUCACAACUUAAUUCAAUAUUUCAAACAAAAAUUCACAACUUAGCGCAUAAAAAAUACACAUUCACAGCUUAAUAACUUACAUAUUAAAAAAUUAAUAAAAAAACACAUAUACACAGUUUGAUACACUACAUUCAUAACUCAUUUAUAGGUAUAAAAUUCAAAUCUGGAUAGAAAUAUCAGAAUUCAUAGUUUAAUACAACAUUUCAAACACUAAUUCACGGCUUAAUUCAAUAAUGCAAACACUAAUUCACAACUUGGUGCAUAAAGAUGCAUGUUCACAACUUAAUAAUUUAUAUAUUCACAAAUUAAUACAUAAAAAAACAUAUAUUCAGAGCUUAAUUACUAUUUUUUUUUUAAAUCAAAAAUUAAAAUAAUAUCCACAGCUUAAAACAUUAUUUCCAAUUUAAAACAUAUAUUAACAAUUUAAUACGACCCACAACUUAAUACAAUUUAUUCAAAGUUUAAUACAAAAUCAUAUUUAUAUAUAAUUUUUAAUAUGACCCACAACUUAAUACAAUUAAAUAAAAUCAUAUUUAUAUAUAAUUUUUCUUUUAUCUUAUAUUUCAAAAGCAAACAAAAAAAAAUUAUAAAAUAAUCAUAGUUUACUACUAGUCAAUUCACAGUUUAAUAAAAAAAAUUCAUACCUUAAUAUAGGUAAUUCAUAUUUUAAAUAGAAAAUUCACAUCUUAAUGUAUUUGAUUCACAGUUUAAUACAUAAAAUUCACAUUUUAAUUUUCAAAAAUAUGCAUUCACAACUAUAUUACCAACUUAAAACUCUUACUACAAUUAAUUCACAAGUUCGUGUACAAAAUUUAAUAUAGUCAAUUUACAGUUUAAACAGAAAAUUCAAAGCUUAAUGCAUUAAAUUCACAGUUUAGACAAAAAAAAAAUCACAAGUUAAUAUACAAGAUUCACAGGUUAAUAAUAUAAAUCAGAAUUUAAUACAUAAAAAGUAUGUAUUCACAACUAAAUUCACAAUUUAACAAAAAAAAAUCACAUUAUUUGAAAAGAAACUAACAGAAUAACACAUAUUUUAAAUUAAUUUCACAGACUACAAAACAUAAAACAUAAACCUUGAAUAAUAUUUUUAUGCAAAUAUUAUAACAAAUUAAAAAGUAAACAUUAAUUCACAACUUAAUAACAGUUAAAAAUUAAAAUUAAGAUUAAAAAAAGCAAACAAAAAUAAGAUAUUAAAACAUUAAAUUUACAACUUAACAACAACAAAACGAUGGAAACAAAACUAUUUUUUCAUCACAUAUAUCAAAGGUGAAUCAAUAUUUUUGGAAUAAAGGGGCUUACACUAUAAUAUUAUUAUAUACUCAUAAAAAAUCAAACUCUUACUAAUUCAAAAUUUUAGGAUUUACUAAAUUGUUAAUGAAAAAUAAAUCAUGACACUUACAUAAACCUAAAAACAAAAUAUAAAUAAAUAAAUAAAUAAUAAGAAGCAAAAGCAACUAAAAAGUAAAUCAGAAGGCAUAUCGUAUAUAACAUUUAUAUAAUAAAAAAUAAUAAAGACUACAAUACUUUAAUAUUAUAGUUGAUACUUACUAGGGCUUAUGUUGCAGCAAAAGAAAAAAAUAAAUAUAUGAAGAUAAUGGACGAUGCAAAGUAACACUGACAAAAUUAAAAGGAAAGAGUCAAAAAGUAAAAUAUUACCUCUUUAAAAUCGAAGUUGUUUCUUUUCAGAUGACAAACAACAUUGAAACGCCUCCCUCUCUUGCACAAGGAAGGUUUGAAGUUGCUUCUUCUCCGGCAACUGGUUAGUGGCGAGUGUCCAUUAACCAGAUAAUAAGGGAGGAAAGCUUGCUCCGGUAACAAAGCGUCGGAAGACGAUUGGCGAUGUCGCGAUGGUAGGUCUAAGAUAGUUUUUGGAUUUUUACAGUUUCAAUUAUUGAUUAUACACGACAAAAUUGAUGUUCAUUAACCUUCGAUUUCAACAAUAUAUGAAAGGCGCUAGUGGUAGAGUGGCAGCGGAUGUGGUGGUCGUAGAUGAAUACGGCGGACAGAGGCGAUCAAAGAUGAAAUAGAUAUGGAAGGAGGCGAUUGUUGUGGUUCAUUAUCGUUUGCCUAGCUUGUAGAUCUCGACUUUCAGCUUGUCGUCGCUCGUAGAUAUGGCAUCGCUGCUCAUUGGAGUUCCAAAAUCUAGCCUCGCCUAUCAUCGGUGGUGUUGUGGUCGUCAGUGAUAUUGCGAUCGUCGUCAGUAGUGGCUGUUAAUGAAAAAUUAUAGAUCUUGAUAUAGAGGACGAUGAUGUUAGUGGCGGAUCUCGUCGAUCUACUGAGCUGGAAUACGCCGACUUGGAUUCCGGUGAGCUAGUGGUGGGGGGGGCAUCGACGACGAUAACGACUGCAGAUGGUUGUUGGUGGUAGAAGGAAAAAGGAAAGUGAGAGGUUGAUGAUUUUGAGAAUGACAGGACAUGAAUCAAAUCUAGUUUUUAGAUUUGGAUUUUAAGAUCUGAUUUAUUUAUUUGUGAAAUUAGACUAAAAUUUGUUGUUGUUUACAAUUCUAUCAUUUUUUUUUUAGUAAUUGUUAGGUAAAAUAGAUAGUUCUUAGGUUUUUAAUUUUAUUUGGUUCUCAUUUUAUCUUUUACUUUUAUAUAUAUAUAUAUAU